AGGCCAUUGCCAAUGAGGAAGAGAGGAAGAGAGGAAGAGAGGAAGAGAGGAAGAGAGGAAGAGAGGAAGAGAGGAAGAGAGGAAGAGAGGAAGAGAGGAAGAGAGGAAGAGAGGAAGUUUUGACAGCAGUCCUCUCUGGAAAAUCCUGAUCAUUCUUUAGACCAAAACUGGGUACUGCUUGAAGAGAACAAGUCUUUGAAAAGGAUAGGCCCAUCUUGCACCUUCAUCAGUUACUUCAAUCUGUAAAAGAUCUUCCAAUGUAUAUCUUAAGACUUGAGAAGGCUAUUGAAAAACUCAAAGGUUUUACUCUUGUUUUAUAGAAUCCAGCAUGUGUGCCUGCUUCUGCUAGUUCUGUGGAGGAGCGACCUACCCUAUCCGAAGAUGUGGUGAUGCUGGAUGCAGACUCUCAAAUCUCAAUUUAAAAAAAAAACGACUGACACUGUGCACCCAUGCCGACUACAGGAAGCUGAAGAACGAUUUAAUGGAUGCCUUCUUUACAAAGGAGCAGUAGGCAUCCCAUUCGAUGAUCUUGGCCUGGAGUGAGGAACAUGCACUGAAUCAGGAUAUCAUCAAAACUUAAAAGUCUGUGUGUGUUCAGACUAUAACAAUGGCAGGCCAGCCAUGCAAGUGAGGGGCCUGAAAAGAAAUAGAUUACACUGUGUGCUGACUGACGGGGCUACGAUUAAACUGGCAGGCCAAUAUAUUUAAGGCUUAUUUUUCCAGACAUUGGUUCCAACGAAGCAGUCACUUGUAGCAGACUUAAAUUGUUGUAUGGUUGAUCCUUAAUGGUGAUUAUCACACCGUUUAGUAAGAGAACUAAACUAUAUAUUUUAGUUAGACUUAUAUGUACUGCAUUUUUUUAAAUAAUUUUACAGUAAUAAAGUCAUUUUUUGUUUUUUUUCCCAUGAAUUUAAUUCAAACCACUGUAUAUAAAAU